AACGAACGCUGGCGGCAUGCCUAACACAUGCGAGUCGAACGAGAUCUUCGGGUCUAGUGGCGCACGGGUGCGUAACGCGUGGGAAUCUGCCCUUUGGUUCGGAAUAACAGUUGGAAACGACUGCUAAUACCGGAUGAUGACGAAAGUCCAAAGAUUUAUCGCCAGAGGAUGAGCCCGCGUAGGAUUAGCUAGUUGGUGUGGUAAAGGCGCACCAAGGCGACGAUCCUUAGCUGGUCUGAGAGGAUGAUCAGCCACACUGGGACUGAGACACGGCCCAGACUCCUACGGGAGGCAGCAGUGGGGAAUAUUGGACAAUGGGCGAAAGCCUGAUCCAGCAAUGCCGCAUGAGUGAUGAAGGCCUUAGGGUUGUAAAGCUCUUUUACCCGGGAUGAUAAUGACAGUACCGGGAGAAUAAGCUCCGGCUAACUCCGUGCCAGCCGCCGCCGUAACAC
rnacentral:rRNA from 1 species